UUAAAAGAGUCAGGGGGUUGUACCCACCCCUAGGGCCCACGUGGCGCCAGUACUCUGGUACAUUAGUACCUUUGUACGCCUGUUUUCCCC
rfam:Bovine Enterovirus PS-87 gene for capsid